UAAACUAGGAUUAGAUACCCUAUUAUUCUAAAUUGAAAUAUUAAAUUACUAAAUUAGUAAUAGUUAGUUACUUAAAAGUUAAAAAAUUUGGCGGUGAUUCAAUCCUUCCAGAGGAACUUGUUUCUUAAUCGAUAACCCACGCAGAAUCUUACUUAUUUUUGUUAACAUCAGUUUGUAUACCAUCAUUAUCAGGUAAUUCUUAAAGGAAGAAUUACUAGACAAGAAUUAAUUAUAAAAAUUAGAUCAUGGUGCAGCGUAUGAAUAAGUUGAAAUGAGUUACAAUAAGUCUUUUUACACGAAACCUUGAGAGAACUCUCAUAGUGAAGGGGGAUUUGGUUGUAUUGUUAAUUUAAUAAGUUUACGAGACAUUGGUUCUGAGUCAUGUACACAUCGCCCGUCGCUCUA
rnacentral:rRNA from 1 species